AGUGAACGCUGGCGGUAGGCCUAACACAUGCAAGUCGAACCGCAGCACAGGAGAGCUUGCUCUCUGGGUGGCGAGUGGCGGACGGGUGAGGAAUACAUCGGAAUCUACUCUGUCGUGGGGGAUAACGUAGGGAAACUUACGCUAAUACCGCAUACGACCUACGGGUGAAAGCAGGGGACCUUCGGGCCUUGCGCGAUUGAAUGAGCCGAUGUCGGAUUAGCUAGUUGGCGGGGUAAAGGCCCACCAAGGCGACGAUCCGUAGCUGGUCUGAGAGGAUGAUCAGCCACACUGGAACUGAGACACGGACCAGACUCCUACGGGAGGCAGCAGUGGGGAAUAUUGGACAAUGGGCGCAAGCCUGAUCCAGCCAUACCGCGUGGGUGAAGAAGGCCUUCGGGUUGUAAAGCCCUUUUGUUGGGAAAGAAAUCCAGCUGGCUAAUACCCGGUUGGGAUGACGGUACCCAAAGAAUAAGCACCGGCUAACUUCGUGCCAGCCGCCGCGGUAA
rnacentral:rRNA from 1 species